AAGUUUUCAACUUUUUAGGGUUUUAGCAGUAAUCAACCAGCAGCUGCAAAAAUGGGGAGCGGGAAGGCGAAGAAGCCAUCGAAGCUGUCUCACAGAAACAACAAGGGCAAUCCGCUUGGCCCUAAGACAAAGAAGAGGAAGAAGGAGAAGAAGCAACGGCUCAGCAAUGGCGGCAGCAAUGAAAACCCAAUUGACGAGAAAGCGAGCAAUCAAAGCAACCAAAACAGCGACGGUUUAAGAGACGGUGAGGUACAACCGGCGUCAGUGUCGGCGCAGCUCAGAUUCUUUCUGGACAAGUUUCAGUCUGCCAACGGCGUUAGCUUUCUUACCUCGAGUUGGAGUCCUUCAAUGAUAAGUGUUUUCUGGAUCAGUCUGAAAGCUUGGAUCAAGAUGUCAGCAUCUGGGGGAAACAUGUGAAGGAAGCUUUUGGUCCAUCAUGGAAACAAGAAGUUUGUGAAAAGGAUCUCGUGGAUGGAAAAAUUGAUCCAGGGAGUCCAGCAAUUCUUAUUAUUAGUACAUCUGCGUUGAGAGCAUUAGAACUUCUAAGGGGCUUCCGGUUGUUGACUAAUGAAUGUCGUGCAGCAAAGCUGUUCUCUAAGCAUAUGAAGGUUGAAGAACAGGUAGUUUCUCGGAAUCUUUAAAAUUCCCUAGUUAAUGGCGCAUUUAUUACUAUUUGUUACCCCACAGUUGUUUCUGCAUGUUCUACUAUUUGCUAGGCUUACUAGCAUCUGUUUGGUUACAGUUCAAUAUGUUGAGCGUACCCAUGUCGUAUAUGGUAUCAAGAAUUGUUACUUGACAUGGGAGUCUGGGAAAUCUAUUGCCCUUCCCCUUCAAUUUUUAGUGUCUGUGUUAGAUGGUCUACAAAUUUAAAACUUAAAAAAUAUAAUGAGAGAUGGGAUUGAAACCCGUGGACUGUGCGGCAUCCGAGUUAUAGUCACUGUAAACUUUCACCAGGUUCAUUGGGGGUCCUUUUGGUAGAAACCUGUAACAUAAUGUUACAUUACCAAUUUAUUUUUUUGACAAUUUCUAUUCCUGUUAUUUUAGGACUGUAACCAGGUCUAUUUCAUCUCUCUGUUAGCCUAUCAGCUUUGUUUUUGAGGAUAUAUAUUACGUUCUAUUUCAUCCCCCGUAUGAUUUUAUGCAUCCGAGUUAUAGUCACUGUAAACUUUCACCAGGUUCAUUGGGGGUCCUUUUGGUAGAAACCUGUAACAUAAUGUUACAUUACCAAUUUAUUUUUUUGACAAUUUCUAUUCCUGUUAUUUUAGGACUGUAACCAGGUCUAUUUCAUCUCUCUGUUAGCCUAUCAGCUUUGUUUUUGAGGAUAUAUAUAUUACGUUCUAUUUCAUCCCCCCGUAUGAUUUUAUGCAUCCGAGUUAUAGUCACUGUAAACUUUCACCAGGUUCAUUGGGGGUCCUUUUGGUAGAAACCUGUAACAUAAUGUUACAUUACCAAUUUAUUUUUUUUGACAAUUUCUAUUCCUGUUAUUUUAGGACUGUAACCAGGUCUAUUUCAUCUCUCUGUUAGCCUAUCAGCUUUGUUUUUGAGGAUAUAUAUUACGUUCUAUUUCAUCCCCCGUAUGAUUUUAUGCAUCCGAGUUAUAGUCACUGUAAACUUUCACCAGGUUCAUUGGGGGUCCUUUUGGUAGAAACCUGUAACAUAAUGUUACAUUACCAAUUUAUUUUUUUGACAAUUUCUAUUCCUGUUAUUUUAGGACUGUAACCAGGUCUAUUUCAUCUCUCUGUUAGCCUAUCAGCUUUGUUUUUGAGGAUAUAUAUUACGUUCUAUUUCAUCCCCCGUAUGAUUUUAUGCAUCCGAGUUAUAGUCACUGUAAACUUUCACCAGGUUCAUUGGGGGUCCUUUUGGUAGAAACCUGUAACAUAAUGUUACAUUACCAAUUUAUUUUUUUGACAAUUUCUAUUCCUGUUAUUUUAGGACUGUAACCAGGUCUAUUUCAUCUCUCUGUUAGCCUAUCAGCUUUGUUUUUUGAGGAUAUAUAUUACGUUCUAUUUCAUCCCCCGUAUGAUUUUAUGCAUCCGAGUUAUAGUCACUGUAAACUUUCACCAGGUUCAUUGGGGGUCCUUUUGGUAGAAACCUGUAACAUAAUGUUACAUUACCAAUUUAUUUUUUUGACAAUUUCUAUUCCUGUUAUUUUAGGACUGUAACCAGGUCUAUUUCAUCUCUCUGUUAGCCUAUCAGCUUUGUUUUUGAGGAUAUAUAUUACGUUCUAUUUCAUCCCCCGUAUGAUUUUAUGCAUCCGAGUUAUAGUCACUGUAAACUUUCACCAGGUUCAUUGGGGGUCCUUUUGGUAGAAACCUGUAACAUAAUGUUACAUUACCAAUUUAUUUUUUUGACAAUUUCUAUUCCUGUUAUUUUAGGACUGUAACCAGGUCUAUUUCAUCUCUCUGUUAGCCUAUCAGCUUUGUUUUUGAGGAUAUAUAUUACGUUCUAUUUCAUCCCCCCGUAUGAUUUUAUGCAUCCGAGUUAUAGUCACUGUAAACUUUCACCACGUUCAUUGUGGGUCUUUUUGGUAAAGGGGAAAAGUUGAGAAAGUUUAGGUCGAAUGUCUGCUUUAUUUACGCCUCAUGGUUCGUCUCCCCUGGGAUUCAUAUGACGGGGUGGAGCGGCAAACCUUCCUUAAGGUUUAUACAUUAUUUCUCAGGAAAUUCUUUUGCAAACAUAAAUUCAUCUGAAAUCCAUAAUACCGAACUAAUGAUAGUCUUUGAAAAAUCUUCACCCUCACAUUUUCCUUUUCUCCAAGUUCCCUGGCCAGAGUGGGCAGUGAUGGUUCAAAAAUCAGAGAGAAGAAUCUUGAUAUGUUCUUUUCGAUUUCUCGUCUUUGUGCUCUAUUUUGAAUAGAAAAUCUUUUAACUUUAUACACUCCACAUGCCUCGCAUUGAUUUUAUUUGGCAGAGAUGAAUUCUGGGACUUGUACCAGAACUACUUCCAUGAUCGACUACAACAAGGUUUCCUUGCGUCUCGGUCUUUAUGGUCCAUGAAUAUCUGGGAAAGAGCUUAAGGGGAAAAAGAUGGGCCCGACGGAAUAACAAAUUUUGGUCCAUUUUUAGUGCAAACUAGCUAUCCUGCCCACGCGUUGCUGCGGUGUUACAUUGUUGUAUACCGUUUUUUCGCAUAAUGGGCAGAGCAUGCAUCUAUUUUGUUCACAUAACGAAAAAUCUUAGGGAAGAAUUAAGCACAUAAAUACAUAUUAGGUUUUUAAAUUGGCUUUAUUCUUUACAUUUCUAUUUUAAUGUAGCAGGAAAGAAAUUGUAAUAGAUUGCCUAGAAAAGUAAACAUUGUUUUGCAGGCAUCAAUACGACUGGAAAUGUAACAGCUGAAUAAAUAGUGAUAUAAUGUUCCUUCUUUAAAUCUGCAUAUACUAACUAAAAUAAACAAAUAUGCAAGAAUAUACUGCAUCUGUGAUCGAUAACGUAAAAUUCAUGAUUAGCAUUCCAAGUCUUGUAAAUUAGCUUUCAAAGCCUUCUAAACACCAAACCACCUGUCUAGAUGCAAUUACCUAUUCUCUCCCAUAAUUUUUACAAAUCAAACAGGUCCAUCAAAUAAAUUUACUCGCCUCUUGGACAGAUUUUUUUGGGUUGAAUCUAAAAACAACAUAGCUGCAAAAAGGGCUGAAAACUUCUGCAGUUUGGCAUUCACUUCAAAGGAAAACCGAUCAAAAGACAAUCAUGGACUUGAUAAUCACAUAUGGGGUCAUAAGGUAAAAAAAUUCACUCAAGUUUCAGUGAGUAGUGAGUAAAACUAAGCAAUGAUGCAGGAAAUCAAUUAGAAGGUUGAGAUACACAAAAAA